AGAACCUGGAAUUUGAUGUCCUAGGGCAGGAGAAGAAAAGGGGUACUGCUCUGGAAAAGAGAGAGAAAGAGAGAAAAAAAAGGAAGCAAGAAAAAGAAAAAAAGAAAAGCAAGCAAGCUGAAUGUCUUCCUUCUUCCACCUCCUUUGUUCCUGCUGUACUGCCACUGCCCAAUAUAUAAUAUUUCAGGAAACAUUGCUUUAUGAAGGGCUCCAUAACAGUUAAUGAAGCACCAAUAUAACCACACCAUCGCUGGAAUUAUAAAAAUACCAAGAAAAUUUCUGUUGAUAAUGGAUUAAUGGAAUCAUAGACUUUUAGAGUUGAACAUUUGAGUUUAUCCAGUGCCUGGUUCCAGAUG
rnacentral:lncRNA from 1 species